rnacentral:rRNA from 1 species
UACGUAGGUGGCAAGCGUUGUCCGGAUUUAUUGGGUUUAAAGGGUGCGUAGGCGGCCUUGUAAGUCAGUGGUGAAAUACUCCAGCUUAACUGGAGGGGUGCCAAUGAUACUGCAGGGCUUGAGUACAGAUGAGGUAGGCGGAAUUGACGGUGUAGCGGUGAAAUGCGUAGAUAUCGGAAGGAACACCUGUGGCGAAAAGCGGCUCACUGGACCAUUACUGACGCUGAGGCACGAAAAGCUAGGGGGAGCAAACAGG